rnacentral:rRNA from 1 species
UACGGAGGGUGCGAGCGUUGUCCGGAAUCACUGGGCGUAAAGGGCGCGUAGGCGGCCUGAUAAGUAGGGGGUGAAAUCCUGCGGCUUAACCGCAGGGCUGCCUUCUAAACUGGCGAUCUUUGAGUCCGGGAGAGGUGAGUGGAACUCCGAGUGUAGAGGUGAAAUUCGUAGAUAUUCGGAAGAACACCAGUGGCGAAGGCGGCUCACUGGCCCGGUACUGACGCUCAGGUGCGAAAGCGUGGGGAGCAAACAGG